rnacentral:ncRNA from 2 species
AAAAUUUGCUGGGGGUGUCGUAUUCGGCUGAGAAACAGGCAGAAAGCUUGUUACCCUUUCUACCUGAUCUGGGUUAUACCAGCGUAGGGAAGCGUAUUACUUCAAAC